GACGAACGCUGGCGGCGUGCUUAACACAUGCAAGUCGAACGGUGAAGCGCCUUCCUUUUUGGUGGGUGUGGAUGAGUGGCGAACGGGUGAGUAACACGUGAGUAACCUGCCUCCUUCUUCUGGAUAACCGCAUGAAAGUGUGGCUAAUACGGGAUAUUCUGGGUCUGUCGCAUGAUGGGUCUGGGAAAGAUAUUGUUUCGGUGGGGGAUGGGCUCGCGGCCUAUCAGCUUGUUGGUGGGGUGAUGGCCUACCAAGGCGGUGACGGGUAGCCGGCCUGAGAGGAAGAACAGUCACGCUGGGACUGGGAUACGGCCCAGACUCAUACGCAAAGCAGCAGUGGGGAAUAUUGCAGGAUGGGCGAAAGCCUGAUGCAGCGUCGCCGCGUGAGGGAUGGAGGCCUUCAGGUUGUGAACCUCUUUCGCCAGAAAGGCAGGCCUGCCUCGUUUGUGGGUGGGUUGACGGUAGCUGGAUAAGAAGCGCCGGCUAACUACGUG
rnacentral:rRNA from 1 species